rnacentral:tRNA from 2 species
CCUUCGAUAGCUCAGUUGGUAGAGCAGAGGACUGUAGAUCCUUAGGUCGCUGGUUCGACUCCGGCUCGAAGGA